GCCUCUUGUGAAAGUCAAACUGUAUGUGUUGAUGAUUCUACAAAUGAUUAAUACUGAGACUAGUAGCAAUGGAGUGGUUAACGGUGGAGUUGCAAUUCCUGCUCUUAAGCAGGAUGGUGGUGGUCUUGGCUUUUCUUCUCACAAUAAACAGCCACCUUGUGAAACAAAAAAGACAGCACUGAGGGAUGUGCAAAAUCAAGCCAGUGGCUUGUCACAGAACCAUCGAGAGAAUUCAAGCUUUCUUGCUUCAGGAGCCAAUACAGAUGCAGUUAGAGUUUGUGGAAAUAAGAGGCUUACACCAGAGCGCCCUUCGGGUUCUGCUUUCUAUCCUGCCUUAACCAAUUCUUGUGCAAAUGAGCAUAUCAUGAAUGCACGUCGAAGAUUUGAGUUAGAACUAGGCAGGGGAAGAGUUCAAAGCAACACAACUAAGGUUGCUGAUUCUCCGCAGUCCAGGCAAGUGCACCAAUUGCAGCAAGAAACUCCUCAAAAACAAACUCAUUUGAGGGCAAGCAACAAUUAUUCUGUUCCUGCAGUUCCACAGAAUAAUAUUCCACCCACGAAUAGUUCGUUUGGGGGAUUGUCAGCUCCAAAUUUUCUGGGGAAGUAUGCCACUGGUAUGCAAUCUACACAGUCUGAUUCUCUUAGGGUCACAUUGGAAUGUCCUAAUUCUGUUGACUAUAAGGGUAGUCGUGAUCAGCAAACAACAGAACGGUAUGUCCGCCUGCAAAAUUUUUUGAAAGAAUGUGAUGAGUCAAACUGUCGGGAUUACAUCCAGGUGCUCCGAUAUCUAUCCCCAGCUGAGCUUAGUAGACAUGCCUUUGAGUUGGAGGCAAGAGCAAUUCAAUUAGCAAUGGAGGAAGGUAUAGAUGUUCUUUUUCACCAGUAAUAAAUGAUUACUAACUUCCGAAUGUUGGUUCUUCUAGGAUAAAAAAUUUAGAACGAUUUCAACAAGACACAGAUAGCUCUGGUACAUAUAUAUCAGAUAAAGCGCAUCCCUUGAAUGCCUUUUGUGUGUGUGUGUGCGUGCGUGCUUGCUCGCAUGUGAGUUGGGGGCAGAGAGAGAGAUAGAGAGAAUUUGAUGACGAUUGGAGAGUUACAGCUUCUGCCGUCUAUUAGGGAAAAGAAAUGCAUCGGAUGAAGGCCCUGAACGUCCUGGGUAAAUCAACCCUCACUGAUAGUUCUUUGCAAGCUACGUCUACCCUCACCAGUAAUUCAUUGCAAAAUACUCAGCUAUAUCCCAGAAAAUGAAACUUGCAGCGCUUAUAUACAAUUUUUCGCAAGGUAACGAGGGUCUUCAGGCCUUUUUUUUUUAGGGGUACUUCAUCAAGGAUCAAGGAUCUAGCAGUGGCUCCGUAGUCCUGGAUACUUCAAACAUGCAUAUUACUCCAAGACCUCCGGGUUCAGCCUAUUCAACUGACUAUGAGAAGUCCAUCCAGAGAAAAUGUCUGGAUUGGUUGGUGGCAUAGUGCAUUUCAGCAACGCCUAAUUAUGUUGGGAAAUAAGUUUGAUUUAGCAAUUAGCUGAUUUACCUUCUCAGAUCAAUUAUGCUUCUUCCCUUUUCUUCUAUUCCUUUGUGUUGUUUGCCUGACUAAUUUAUCAUGUUUGAAACGCAUGGUCACCAAAAUAUUAGAAGCUAAUGGUGUUCGACUGUUUGCCUAGGUCUUCAAGUCCAGCUUUUUCUUCAAUUUCUCUUGUUUGGUGGUAACUAUAACGUCUAUGUGUCCUCCUUUCCGGCGGUUGUCAUGUUAAAAGUUUUAGGAGCUAUAUAAUUAUGCUAUUGCUAGUUUUA